GACGAACGCUGGCGGCGUGCCUAAUACAUGCAAGUAGAACGCACAGUCUAUACCUUAGCUUGCUACACCAUAGACUGUGAGUUGCGAACGGCUUAGUAACGCGUACCUAACCUGCCUGGUAGCGUGGGAUAACUAUUGCUAACGAUAGCUAAUACCUCAUGAUACUUAUUAUUGCAUGAUAAUUAACUGAAAUGUGGAAUUGCACCACUACCAGAUGGACCUGCGUUGUAUUAGCUAGUAGGUGAGGUAACGGCUCACCUAGGCGACGAUACAUAGCCGAACUGAGAGGGUGAGCGGCCAGACUGGGACUGAGACACGGCCCAGAGGCCUUCGGGAGGGAGCAAUAGGGAAUCUUCGGGCAUAGACGAAAGUCUGACCGAGAAACGCCGCGGGAGGGAAGAAGGUUUUCGGGUCGUAAAGCUCUGUUGUAAGGGAAGAAAGGGUGUGAGAGUGGAAAGUGCACACUGUGACGGUAUCUUACCAGAAAGGGACGGCUAACUACGUG
rnacentral:rRNA from 1 species